AGUGGCGGACGGGUGAGUAACGCGUGAGAAUCUGCCUUGGGGUCGGGGACAACCACUGGAAACGGUGGCUAAUACCGGAUAAGCCGAUUGGUGAAAGAUUUAUUGCCCGAAGAGGAGCUCGCGUCUGAUUAGCUAGUUGGUGAGGUAAGAGCUCACCAAGGCAGCGAUCAGUAGCUGGUCUGAGAGGACGAUCAGCCACACUGGGACUGAGACACGGCCCAGACUCCUACGGGAGGCAGCAGUGGGGAAUUUUCCGCAAUGGGCGAAAGCCUGACGGAGCAAGACCGCGUGAGGGAGGAAGGCUCUUGGGUUGUAAACCUCUUUUCUCAGGGAAGAAUCUCUGACGGUACCUGAGGAAUCAGCCUCGGCUAACUCCGUGCCAGCAGCCGCGGUAAUACGGAGGAGGCAAGCGUUAUCCGGAAUUAUUGGGCGUAAAGCGUCCGCAGGUGGCGAUUCAAGUCUGCUGUCAAAGCACGGGGCUUAACUCCGUAAAGGCAGUGGAAACUGAAUAGCUAGAGUGCCGUAUGGGUAGAGGGAAUUCCCGGUGUAGCGGUGAAAUGCGUAGAGAUCGGGAAGAACAUCGGUGGCGAAAGCGCUCUACUGGACGGCAACUGACACUCAGGGACGAAAGCUAGGGGAGCGAAUGGGAUUAGAUACCCC
rnacentral:rRNA from 1 species